GGGGCUGCUGUAAGAAAUUUCUACAAACUGGAUGGCUUAAAACAAUGAGAAUUUAUUUCUCUCAUAGUUCUGGAGGCCAGAAGUCCAAAAAUUAAGAUAUCAGCAGGAGCACAUUUCCUAUUGAGGCUCAAGGGGAGGGUGCGAGCGCAGUCCCCCACUACCACAAAUUAUGCAGUUGAGUUUCCCCCAUUUGGGGAAAUCGCAGGGGUCAGCACAUCCGGAGUGCAAUGGAUAAGCCUCGCCCUGAGGAAACCACCUUCGUGAUCAUGGUAUCUCCCCCGCCAGGAAAUCCUGAAUUAUAAAAGAAAUGUCAUUAGGAAUCAGUGACACUGAAGUUUGGAAGAGGCAGUUGGAAAUGGUUAUAUGUACCCUUUGACAUACAGAACAAAAAUUAUGGACCUGCGUUUCUAAAGUAUGCAACAAAUUCUUUGUCAAAUUUGCUGUAAACAGAGAAAAGGAUGAUCAGUUGGGCAAUGACUUAUUAUUCCACAUUCACAGAGCUGUGUCAUUUCCUGUCAGCUAAAGGGUGAGGGCUAAGUCCACACAGCAGCAGUAAAUCAUAUUAGCAGUCAGCAUUAAUGAGGAAAAACAGGACCAAAUUCUACAACCCAGACCGAAGUACCCUUACCAAACAGCCUACACAGCUUAUUGCAGUGCCCUUGACAGGACACUCAGCCAUAAUUUUAAAGGAAAAGAAAAGAAAAGAUUCCUCUCCAAGAGAACAGAUUCUUCCCAAACAACAAGUUCAAUCCAUUGACUUUUAUGAGUCUUCUUUCCUCAAUUCCUCUUUCUCCAAAAAAAAACCCGCCUCCUGUUCGGUUGAUGUUAUAUAAGGCCAGCUGAGUUAACCAUCUCAAAAAAGGGACAGUUGGGAAAGUGGCACCGUUCACUACAGAGCAGGUCACAAGUUUACACCCUGCUGUUCUUUUAUUUUUUAAUUUUUUUUCCUGCUGUUAUUUUAUAUUGAACUUCAUGUAUUUGAAGCUACUUCAUACGCACCGUCUCUUAAAUUCUCAGAGAGAAUGCCUGUGACUCGUAUCCAUAUUUUCUGACAUAACGUCUAUGAAAGCAUCAUGCACAUUUUCUGUUUUUAAUGUUAUCUCUGCUCCGUUGACGAUGCUUAUAAGAGACCAGGGCUUUCUCCUCAAGGCACACUUGCUCCUUCAAACACUUCUGCUGGCGUCUGAGGAGAGGCAGGCAACCAUGAAUAAACAAUUAGGAUUAUGCCUUAAAUAUUCCACUGUGAGCCCAGACCUCCCUAAAUACACUGAACCUGAAAAGGGAGGAGGAGGGGAUGCCUGACGUGUGUUUCUAAAGAAGAAUGUUCCAAAGUAGAGGGCAUGUGAUCUUCUAAGCAGCCUUAUUGUGGGACUUAAAGGAAGCAGAUAUUAUCAUUGUCUUGUAAGAAUGAAACUAAGGAAAAGAAUUCAGUCAGUGUUUGCCCAAGGUCAGACAGUGCUUUAGUUUCGCUGGGACUAAAAGUCAAUGUCCUGACUUGUGGGCCAGUGCUCACAGAAAGAACACAGAGCUGUUGUUGUUUAUCAGGUCUGUGCCAUCCCUAGAUGGCUGUUCUCUCUCAGUUAGCCCUCUCUCCAGGCCUGGAAUCAACCUGUUUUGUGUCAGAGGGGAUGCAGUUUCUAUGGGAGGGGGUGCUUCCCUCUAGUAAGUAGAGGGUUGUUAACCACAGAGGAAAGAAUUCUUAAGUUCAGACUUCUUAGGGCGGCUGAAUGCUGAAUGCACACGACGUAGUAACCAAUCCAUAUGGAAAUGUUUGCUAUUUUUUCUCUUCUCUUGAACUUAGGGGUAAUUAGAGAAAGGAGAGAGUAAUAGGAAACAAGAAGAAUAACAAAAGACAGGACAUUAGGUAAUGUAUGAUUCCCUAAAUGGGGCUGCACUCCUUCCAAAUGAAUGUUUUCCUUAGGGAAAACCUUUCAUUGCAAUCUAAAAUUUUAGUCUUUUCUAGGACUUUAGGUAUCAUUUAGAUCUGAAAAUCUCAUUGAGGAUAAGCAGUGUCAUCAAAGUCAUAGUUAGUGAAGUGACAGCUGCAAACGUAGAAUUGGAGCCAUUCAUUCAAAUAAUCAAGUCAUUACCCUGCUUCAAGCCUUCCUGUGUCUGACUACAUAUUGCCCUUAGAAUGAAAUCCAAAUUCUAUGAACCUAUCUCCAAGGCCCAUUUAUUAGCUCCUGUCCUUUUUCUCCUGCUCUCCUAUCUAUUUUCUCCCUCCUUCAGUGGGCCUACUGACUCCAGCCUUCCUUCUGUUUCUUCCACCUGCUGAGUUCUUCUCUGCAUAUAACCUUUUCACUGUCAGUUCCCUUACCUUCCAGUGGACCUUCUCAAGGUUGAUUUGUUCUCACCAUUAAAGACUCAUCCUCCUUAGAGAGGCAUUGCCAGGCCACUGGGUCUAAUCCCCACCUUCCUACGCUUCAUCAUGCCAUCGUGUUUUGUCUUCAUAGAACUUGGCACAUUCAUUCUUAUUUGUGUACUUGCUUACUUCUUUAUUGUCUAUCUCUUGUCUGACAUAUGUACUCUGUGAGAGCAGCAAGCAGGCUGGCUUGUUUACUGUUAUAUCUACAGUUUCUAGAACAGUGCCUGGAAUAUAGCAGGUGCCUAAUAAAUAUUUGUUGAACUAAAUGCUAAAUGAAUUUUUUAAAUAUAUUGAGUAUCUACUACACAGUAGUAGAGACUCAAAGAAGACAAGGAAAUAAUUCUUAGCCUAAAGGGAUUCAAAGCCUGGUGACUUCAGGCAGUUGUUUUUCUACCCUAUUACACAGCCAUUAAAUUUCACUCAGCAGGGACUUCCAUGGUGGUGCGGUAGUUAAGACUCUGCCUGCCCAUGCAGGG